rfam:Sorghum bicolor cultivar BTx623 chromosome 9, whole genome shotgun sequence.
UAGCCACUUUGAGUUACAAUAAUUACUAUAUUAAUUUACAAGAUUAUAGUAACUCUUUACUAAGUGGUUUACUAUACCAUUAUGCUAAAUAUCUCCAUGUGUUAUAGUAACCAAACUAUCGUAAAUAUGUAUACAUAUUAUCGUAAAUUAAUAUAUAAAGUUAUCGUAAAUAGAGGUGGCUA